CAAUGUGCAUUAUACCCAUUGGCAGAAAGUUAUCUUUAACACAUUAAAGGUUCUGCUACACAGAGAUUUUAUUCGGACUUCAGCUGACAUUGACUUUCUUAGCCGUCCACUGGACCUAAUUAAAAGUUAAAACUUGCAAAAGCAUGAUCCACAGGGGAAAAGCACUCAUUUCAGAAAGUUAAGAGAUCAGGAAAGCAACAUGCCUGCAAAAUAUACACUGGAUUAAACAGCAAGGCA
rnacentral:misc_RNA from 1 species